rnacentral:rRNA from 1 species
GAUGAACGCUGGCGGCGUGCCUAAUACAUGCAAGUCGAGCGAACAGACGAGGAGCUUGCUCCUCUGACGUUAGCGGCGGACGGGUGAGUAACACGUGGAUAACCUACCUAUAAGACUGGGAUAACUUCGGGAAACCGGAGCUAAUACCGGAUAACAUGUUGAACCGCAUGGUUCAACAGUGAAAGACGGUCUUGCUGUCACUUAUAGAUGGAUCCGCGCCGCAUUAGCUAGUUGGUAAGGUAACGGCUUGCCAAGGCAACGAUGCGUAGCCGACCUGAGAGGAUGAUCGGCCACACUGGAACUGAGACACGGUCCAGACUCCUACGGGAGGCAGCAGUAGGGAAUCUUCCGCAAUGGGCGAAAGCCUGACGGAGCAACGCCGCGUGAGUGAUGAAGGUCUUCGGAUCGUAAAACUCUGUUAUUAGGGAAGAACAAAUGUGUAAGUAACUAUGCACGUCUUGACGGUACCUAAUCAGAAAGCCACGGCUAACUACGUG